UGUUCUUGCUGGUGUGGUAUGUUCACGGCUGAAAAGGUGGUCAGAAGGGGAAAGGAGGAAGUGAGAAGAAAGAAACAGGGAAAUGAGUGUUGCUCAGUUGCCCAGGCUAGAGUGCAAUGGCAUGAUCUUGGCUCACUGCAGCCUCCACCUCCUGGGUUCAAGUGAUUCUCGUGCCUCAGUCUCCCAAGUAGCUGGGAUUACAGGCUGGAGCACGAUGGCAUGAUCAUGGCUCACGGCAAACUCCGCCUCCCUGGUUCAAGUGAUUCUCCUGCCUCAGCCUCCUGAGUAGCUGGGAUUACAGGCAUGUGCCACCAUGCCCCGUUGGCCAGGCUGGUCUCGAACACCUUACCUCAGGUGAUCCUCCCGCCUUUGGGAUUACAGACCCUGCAAUGCGAUGCGGACACUAUCCAGAUUGGUAAACUGGUUCAUCUGAUCUUGUGCCCUCCACUCAGGAACUGACUCAGCGCAAGAAGACAGCUUCGACUCCUUAUGAUUUCAUCCCUAACCAAUCAGCACUCCUGGCUCACUGGCUUCCCCCAACCCACCAAAUUGUCCUUAAAAACUCUGCUCUCCAAAUGCUGGGGGAGACUGACUUGAGUAGUAAUAAAACUCUGGUCUCC
rnacentral:lncRNA from 1 species